CCUACGGGGGGCAGCAGUGAGGAAUAUUGGUCAAUGGGCGUAAGCCUGAACCAGCCAAGUCGCGUGAGGGAUUGAGGUUCUAUGGAUCGUAAACCUCUUUUAUAAGGGAAUAAAGUGUGGGACGUGUCCUGUUUUGUAUGUACCUUAUGAAUAAGGAUCGGCUAACUCCGUGCCAGCAGCCGCGGUAAUACGGAGGAUCCGUGCGUUAUCCGGAUUUAUUGGGUUUAAAGGGUGCGUAGGCGGGCUUGUAAGUCAGCGGUGAAAGUCUGUGGCUCAACCAUAGAAUUGCCGUUGAAACUGGGAGGCUUGAGUAUGUUAGAGGCAGGCGGAAUGCGUGGUGUAGCGGUGAAAUGCUUAGAUAUCACGCAGAACCCCGAUUGCGAAGGCAGGCUGCCAAGCAAUGACUGACGCUGAUGCACGAAAGCGUGGGGAUCAAACAGGAUUAGAUACCCUAGUAGUC
rnacentral:rRNA from 1 species